AUGAACGCUGGCGGCGUGCCUAAUACAUGCAGGUCGAGCGAACAGACGAGGAGCUUGCUCCUCUGACGUUAGCGGCGGACGGGUGAGUAACACGUGGAUAACCUACCUAUAAGACUGGGAUAACUUCGGGAAACCGGAGCUAAUACCGGAUAAUAUAUUGAACCGCAUGGUUCAAUAGUGAAAGACGGUUUUGCUGUCACUUAUAGAUGGAUCCGCGCCGCAUUAGCUAGUUGGUAAGGUAACGGCUUACCAAGGCAACGAUGCGUAGCCGACCUGAGAGGGUGAUCGGCCACACUGGAACUGAGACACGGUCCAGACUCCUACGGGAGGCAGCAGUAGGGAAUCUUCCGCAAUGGGCGAAAGCCUGACGGAGCAACGCCGCGUGAGUGAUGAAGGUCUUCGGAUCGUAAACUCUGUUAUUAGGGAAGAACAAAUGUGUAAGUAACUAUGCACGUCUUGACGGUACCUAAUCAGAAAGCCACGGCUAACUACGUG
rnacentral:rRNA from 1 species